GAGGGUUUAGCUCAGUGGUAGAGCACAUGCUUAGCGUGCAUGAGGUUCUAGAUUCAAUUCCCAGUACCUCCA
rnacentral:tRNA from 1 species